AUGUCUGGGCUCCCUGGGCGCUCUGCGGGCGUCGUCAACCCUGACCCUCAAGCCAGAGGGUCACUACUCUGUCUGCCAUCCGCCCCGUGCAUCCCAAGCGGCGACACUCGAUUCGUGUCCCCGGGAGACCCUCAGCAGAGAAACCUGCUGCUCCUGGAGCGUCUCAGCAGAGCGUCCAAAAGCAGACUCACUACUGUUGUCCUUGCGUGUCCCGCAGAUCCUGGCCAACCUAGAGCAGGGCCUGGCGGAGGACGGGACCACGAGCAGCAUCGCGCAGGAGAACAGGCAAGCCUCCGUGCAGCUGUGGCGGUCCCGCCUGGGCCGCGUGACCUGCUCCAUGGCCAACUGCCUGCUGCUCAUGAAGGACUACGUGCUGGCCGUGGACGCGUACCGCGCGGUCGUCCAGUUCCACCCAGAGCAGGAGCCCCAGGUGCUGAGCUGCAUCGGCCGCAUCUUUCUGCAGGUGCGAGGGGUGGGGGUCGGGGGCUGCACCUCAGCGCGUCCUGUGGGUCUGAGAAAGCGAGGAAGGGUGUCAAGUCAGACGUCUGUUGCUGUCAGAAGGCGGUUUCUUUUUUGGUCCUGGUUUGACUGUACUGAGUAUCAAGCCUCCAGCUUCGAGGUGAUGGGGAGGCCAGUCGCUACACGUCAGUGUACGUAGAUUUCCGUCAGGCAGUGCACAGACGGGUGGCUGAGGCCUUGCCCUGUUGCUGUAGAAACGUGUUGAUGCGAGGAGCCGGCCACCGUGGGCUCCUCUCCCGCCCCAGACCCCCCAGGGCCCCUGGCACCCUCGUCCCUGGGAAGGAGGGGAGAAGCAGGUGUGGGAGCGUCUUCAGUUUCCACCACUGAAACACUCAGGGCGCAGCCGCCAAAACCCUGCGCUCCGGGGGAGGGCCCUAGCUCUUUGCAGCUGAGGCUGGUCUGGGUUUGUGUGUGCAUGUGCAUGCGUACACGUGCGUGCGUGUGUGUGUGCAUGCGUACGUGCGUGCGUGUGUGUGCGUACAUGUGCAUGCGUACACGUGCGUGUGUGUGCGUGCGUGUGCGUGUGCGCCCACUGUUCUCAGGAGCACUUGGUAUCUGUUUUCUGUCUUCAUAGAAGUGGCUUGCUUUUUCUCUCUCUGUCCUCAGAUAAUUCUAGAAUUAUCUGUUGCUGGAAGAUAUGAAGAAUUGACUCAAAGGCCUGAGCCACACUCCUGGGGCUUGUGGGACAAUUUAUCAACAGCUUUAGUGUUCCAUGUGUGGGAGAGGUUUCUUCUCUGUUUCUGGGAUCAAUUUUGGCAGUUUAGAGUGCCAAAAUAGAGAUCACAUGUCCGCUCCGUGUGUCCGCGUGCAUUUGCUUGGAGUCCUGCAAAGUCGUCCUCUCCCGUAAUCGCUUCAGUCUGUUGCCCAAGGCGCUUCUCCUCUCGCCUGUGAUCCUGCUCCACUUACCUCUCUUGUCCUUGACUGCUUCUUCCAUUUCUUAUCUCAUGUUUUUCUUCACAUAACUAGUUUGGGCUUGUUUGUUUGCUUACUAGAUAUAUCACAGUGCUUUUUAUUAUUUGCCUUUUUAAUUGCCUUUUUAUGUACAACUUAAUCACUCAGUUUCUGACAUGUGGACAGAUGUUGACAUCCUGCUGUGUCCUGAAUGGCUUUUGCGUUUUGUUUUUUAAUGAAAAAUGACAGUUAGUAAGUGGUCACCUAAGUUUCACCCCGCCUGACACGUCCCCACCUGACACUGGGGAACUGUAUGUGUGGGUAUAGGUCUAACAUCGUCACCUGAAUUGACUGCUUCAUUUUGUCAAAGCAGAUUGGAGACAUAAAAGCAGCUGAAAAGUACUUUCAAGACGUAGAGAAAGUAACCCAGAAAUUGGAUGGACUGCAGGGCAAAACCAUGGUUUUGAUGAACAGGUGUGUAUUUCUUUUCUGUGAUCUCCAGCUUUGCUGAGCCGUAACUGCAGCACGGUGCAGGUUUAAGGUGAGAACAAUAAUGACUUGACUUCCAUACAUUGGGACAUUGGGAAGUGAUGCCCACAAAAUAGCGAACACUCAUCACCCCAUACGGAUACAAAAUGAGAGACAGAGCGCACUCUCUCCGCGUUCACGGCAACGCACAGCGGUGUGCAUGUGCAUGCGUGCGUGCGUGCGUGUGUGUGCGUACAUGUGCAUGCGUGCGUGCGUGCGUGUGUGUGCGUACAUGUGCAUGCGUGCGUGCGUGUGUGUGCGUGCGUGUGCGUGUGCGCCCACUGUUCUCAGGAGCACUUGGUAUCUGUUUUCUGUCUUCAUAGAAGUGGCU
ensembl:lncRNA